GUUCAACUUGAGCCACCUGUAAUGUUAGAGCGGUCACAGUGGCCUUAGCUGCUUGCAGCUCAGUGGCUUGCUGUUCAGCCUGCUGGAUUUGCUGCUGGCACUUCUCAAGUCCCUGGUCUGCAUGCUCUUUCAACAGCACCACUUGAGAAUUGAGCUCACAGCCGACCAUGGCCAGGCCGUAAAUCAGAGCUCGUUUUUGCUCCUCUCUAUUGGGCUUAGGCUUGCUAGUGUGGUAGCGAGCCCACAAGAUGGAAAAUUUGCCCAGGGAGUCAGUCCCUGCUAGUGAUUCCUGCUGCCAAGGAUUUUCUCCCUUCCCAAAAGAAUCGAUAGCAUGAUCCAAAGAAUUUUUAUUAGACUGGGGAGUCCAUCCUUGCAGACUGAAAAUUUGGUCCAUUAUGUUGUAGGGAGUUGCUUACCCAACUCCGGAACUGAAAAGGGUAACUUAAGUGAAGAUAGAAGGACUCCAGUAAGAAACCACACCUUUAUACGUGGCACCUCGGCCCGGGCUAGGCUAGCCUAAUAUGCUGCCUUCUGCCAAAGAAAAAUUGGCCACCCUUUUGGGGCCCAGACCCACUCCAUACCUACCCUUUACAGGGAAAGGGACUAACAGCACUGGACGGGGCAACCAGUAACCGCUACCUGUUACCGAAGUGGGGGUGGGUGUCCCCGUGACCCCUGGUCCACAAUAACAGGAUUUAAACAGGUUUAAGCUAAAAUUCCACCCUUUGCCAAAGGAGGGGGAAAGGAGCCAACUGGUUCACUUGCCCUUCGGCUAAUACAAUAAUAUCCAAGUAAGAACUCCCCCCACCCCCAAAAUAGAAAUGAAAUAGCCUAACAGGACCCUAAGGAGAUGGCUAAUCCAGUCCCCAGAGAGUCCUGCUGUGGUCGCCAGAAAUGUUAUCUCAAAGGGGAGCCAAGAUAACUCUGAAUGUGUCAAGUGGUGUAGGUAUCGGAAUAGAAACAAGCCCCUUUUUCUCAAAAGAGCAGAUUCGCCCUCUGCCAUAUCUGUCACCAGUGGACUGGUGCAGAUCUCCUCCCCUCUCCCCUUGUGUGGCACACAAUAAAUAUAACUGACAAGAGAUAAAGUUCAAAACAAACAGGUAAAUGUAUUAGGGGACAGAAUUACACAGAUAGGGAAGGGGUAAAUAUAAAUGACUAAUAGCUAUAUAACAAACCCAGUGACACAGCAGCUCUUCCGUGUGAGCGUGAAGCUCAGGCCCAAGAAUGAAACUAAACCAAUCCUGUCAUUCAAGAAAUAUGACCCCCGACAUAGAAACCCUAAUUGUUUUCUCACUCAAUUGCCAUCACUUCAGUAGUGACGGUGAAGUCCAGGACCUCUAUUCCGUAGGUAAUUGAAACCCUUGGAGGAGGAACAGUGGAGAGUCCCUUGAUGGAUGUCAGGACAGAAGAAGUGGACCAGGAACCCUCUGGACGGUGAUGUUCUCCAGGUGCAGGACAGCUGCAGAUGAUCGUAGGGGAUGCUAGUAAAAGCCAGUCUCAGGUAUAUGGUGAACCAGGACCUUCAAACCGAGGUGAGGAGGAGGCGGAUACGGC